rnacentral:misc_RNA from 1 species
AACGUGUUACAUUUUGCAAUAAAUGUAAAUGAAACGUGUGCGGACGUUGUCUGACAACGACGACGUCGAUAAAUUUUAAGCGUCGCGCGUCGAUGGACGGCCUAUCUCAUCGAUAGCCGACCGGAGUGCGUCGCUACAAACAGAGCUCGACAGGGCACAUCGCCGUUUUCUUUCGCGUCUCCGUACGACGAUUGAUCUACGACGAUAAAGUGCCCGUCGCUCGACCGUGUUACCCUACGGGUUACCUCGACAGGGCGCAUCGCCGUUUUCUUUCGCGUCUCCGGACGACGAUCGAUCUACGACGAUAAAGUGCCCGUCGCCAACGGGUUACCUCGACAGGGCGCAUCGCCGUUUUCUUUCGCGUCUCCGGACGACGAUCGAUCUACGACGAUAUAGUGCCCGUCGCUCGACCGUGUUAACCCACGGGGUUCAAAACACAAUUUAGCGAUGAUUGAGUUCGAUGCGACGAUUAGGUCUCGACCGCGGCGCUCGAUACUCUGUGUGUGAGACAUCUGCUAUAUAAAAUACCUGCUCCGUAUCAUCCGAUGCGUGAGCGAAUUUUGAAGGCAUCGCUUGAUGGCGUCCUUUUUAACACUGAUGAAUGCGGUGUUUGAAUCGAAUUCGUCGUUCCAUCGACGAUUCUUUUCAUGUUAAUCGCACUCGCAUUCCAGUCAGCUCGAUCACGCACUUCGUGCGAUCGUGCGAAUGACGGGCGCUCGCGUAACUGCGUCGCUCUAGAUUACGGAAUAUUGCGCCAAGACGACAGUUCAUUGGAAAGUUGUCGAAUCGCAUUUUCCACUAUCACACAAAAUCAAUACCGUUUUGAUAAAGACCGAAAGCGUAAAGCUCGAGGUGUACGAAUUGUAACUUGAAACAUAUACCAAUUUUCGAUAAACGACCCCCAUCGGUGACGUUGGCGUGCAGUCGAUCGAAAGCCGGUAAAAUUUAUAUAUAUAAUCACCCUGACC